rnacentral:rRNA from 1 species
UAGGGAAUCUUCCACAAUGGACGCAAGUCUGAUGGAGCAACGCCGCGUGAGUGAAGAAGGUUUUCGGACCGUAAAGCUCUGUUGUUGGUGAAGAAGGAUAGAGGUAGUAACUGGCCUUUAUUUGACGGUAAUCAACCAGAAAGUACGGCUAACUACGUGCCAGCAGCCGCGGUAAUACGUAGGUGGCAAGCGUUGUCCGGAUUUAUUGG